rnacentral:rRNA from 1 species
GCCUUACCAUGCAAGUCGAACGGCAGCACGGGUGCUUGCACCUGGUGGCGAGUGGCGAACGGGUGAGUAAUACAUCGGAACAUGUCCUGUAGUGGGGGAUAGCCCGGCGAAAGCCGGAUUAAUACCGCAUACGAUCCAUGGAUGAAAGCGGGGGACCUUCGGGCCUCGCGCUAUAGGGUUGGCCGAUGGCUGAUUAGCUAGUUGGUGGGGUAAAGGCCUACCAAGGCGACGAUCAGUAGCUGGUCUGAGAGGACGACCAGCCACACUGGGACUGAGACACGGCCCAGACUCCUACGGGAGGCAGCAGUGGGGAAUUUUGGACAAUGGGCGAAAGCCUGAUCCAGCAAUGCCGCGUGUGUGAAGAAGGCCUUCGGGUUGUAAAGCACUUUUGUCCGGAAAGAAAUCCUUGGCUCUAAUACAGUCGGGGGAUGACGGUACCGGAAGAAUAAGCACCGGCUAACUACGUGCCAGCAGCCGCGGUAAU